AGUGAACGCUGGCGGUAGGCCUAACACAUGCAAGUCGAACGGCAGCACAGUAAGAGCUUGCUCUUACGGGUGGCGAGUGGCGGACGGGUGAGGAAUACAUCGGAAUCUACUUUUUCGUGGGGGUUAACGUAGGGAAACUUACGCUCAUACCGCAUACGACCUACGGGUGAAAGCAGGGGAUCUUCGGACCUUGCGCGAUUGAAUGAGCCGAUGUCGGAUUAGCUAGUUGGCGGGGUAAAGGCCCACCAAGUCGGCGAUCCGUAGCUGGUCUGAGAGGAGGAUCGGCCACACUGGAACGGGGACACGGUCCAGACGCCUACGGGAGGCAGCAGUGGGGAAUAUUGGACAAUGGGCGCAAGCCUGAUCCAGCCAGACCGCGUGUGUGAAGAAGGCCUUCGGGUUGUAAAGACCUUUUGUUGGGAAAGAAAAGCAGCAGGUUAAUACCCCGCUGUUCUGACGGUACCCAAAGAAGAAGCACCGGCUAACUUCGUG
rnacentral:rRNA from 1 species